rnacentral:ribozyme from 1 species
ACAUAAAUGUAUGCUGUUCUUUUUCAUUUUCAUCGACCUACCCCUUCCACAACGUGUCCACAACGUGUGGGGUGCCAACACAAACACAAAGGACAGCCUGCAUCAUGUGUUCUGUACGGUAACAAUGGAUGUGUUGUGCCAUGGGAUGCAUGAUAGAUGAUCGUUUUUAUUUUGUUUUUUGUUUUGUUUUUUGAAGGAAUAGGUAUU